CAGGAUCAUAGAGUGGGCUUUGCAGAGUGGCACGGCCAUGGAUGGCAGCCCCUGUAGCCACAACUCUCUAUUGUUUCCAUGGGAGGGACAGCCUACUGGAUGCUGGUGACUGCGCAGAAGAGGUGAGUGGGUUCACAUGACCAGAGAAUCAAGGCAGGAGAGGUCUCUUCUCUUACCUUGGUUAGGAGCAGGCUAGGAAAGCUGCAUUACAUUACUUUGAGCAACCUAGUGAGAGGGCAAUGGCUGGGAUGGAUGAAUAUUCCAUAUUGGAGGAGCAGAGUCCCUUUUCCUUCCCGAUUGUGCUAUCAUCUUUAAUGCUGUCUGAUUCUGUCAUCCACUGGAGAGCAUGUUGUUACCUCCCACUUUGGACAGGAAUGCCUUGGCUUCAUUCUGGUAUAUAUCUAUUAGGUGCAGAGUGAUGAGUCUAUCUGACUGUUGAUUCACACAGGCUUUUCCCGGGGUAACAUGUGACUGAGAUCCCUCGGUGACCAAAAGGAUAUUUUCCAUCAGGAAGAACAGAUGUUACUUAUCCGGAAAGGCUAAAUAAAGAAUACGAUUUUGCCGUGUG